rnacentral:rRNA from 1 species
CCCUUAGAUGUUCUGGGCUGCACGCGCGCUACACUGAUGCGCUCAACGAGUUUAUGACCUUGCCCGGAAGGGUUGGGUAAUCUUCUUAAAACGCAUCGUGAUGGGGAUAGAUUAUUGCAAUUAUUAAUCUUCAACGAGGAAUUCCUAGUAAGCGCGAGUCAUCAGCUCGUGCUGAUUACGUCCCUGCCCUUUGUACACACCGCCCGUCGCUCCUACCGAUUGAAUGUUCCGGUGAGCUCUUCGGACUGCGCGGUCUGCAGUUUCUGCGUUCCGUGCGGAAAGUUGCGCAAACCUUAACAUUUAGAGGAAGGAGAAGUCGUAACA